rnacentral:rRNA from 1 species
AACGAACGCUGGCGGCAUGCCUAACACAUGCAAGUCGAACGAGACCUUCGGGUCUAGGUGCGCACGGGUGCGUAACGCGUGGGAACCUGCCCUUAGGUUAGGAAUAACUCCCCGAAAGGGGUGCUAAUACCGGAUAAUGUCUUCGGACCAAAGAUUUAUCGCCUUUGGAUGGGCCCGCGUUGGAUUAGCGAGUUGGUAGGGUAAAAGCCUACCAAGGCGACGAUCCAUAGCUGGUCUGAGAGGAGGAUCAGCCACGCUGGGACUGAGACACGGCCCAGAAUCCUACGGAAGGCAGCAGUGGGGAAUAUUGGACAAUGGGCGAAAGCCUGAUCCAGCAAUGCCGGGUGAGUGAUGAAGGCCUUAGGGUUGUAAAGCUCUUUUACCCGGGAUGAUAAUGACAGUACCGGGAGAAUAAGCUCCGGCUAACUCCGUG